GCAGUAGCCGCGGGAAUACAGAGGGUGCGAGCGUUAAUCGGAUUUACUGGGCGUAAAGCGUGCGUAGGCGGCUUUUUAAGUCGGAUGUGAAAUCCCUGAGCUUAACUUAGGAAUUGCAUUCGAUACUGGGAAGCUAGAGUAUGGGAGAGGAUGGUAGAAUUCCAGGUGUAGCGGUGAAAUGCGUAGAGAUCUGGAGGAAUACCGAUGGCGAAGGCAGCCAUCUGGCCUAAUACUGACGCUGAGGUACGAAAGCAUGGGGAGCAAACAGGAUUAGAUACCCCAGUAGUCCCUGUCUCUUAUAC
rnacentral:rRNA from 1 species